rnacentral:rRNA from 1 species
GCUCGCCGGAAGACCAAGGGUUCCUGUCCAACGUUAAUCGGGGCAGGGUGAGUCGACCCCUAAGGCGAGGCCGAAAGGCGUAGUCGAUGGGAAACAGGUUAAUAUUCCUGUACUUGGUGUUACUGCGAAGGGGGGACGGAGAAGGCUAUGUUGGCCGGGCGACGGUUGUCCCGGUUUAAGCGUGUAGGCUGGUUUUCCAGGCAAAUCCGGAAAAUCAAGGCCGAGGCGUGAUGACGAGGCACUACGGUGCUGAAGCAACAAAUGCCCUGCUUCCAGGAAAAGCCUCUAAGCAUCAGGUAACAUCAAAUCGUACCCCAAACCGACACAGGUGGUCAGGUAGAGAAUACCAAGGCGCUUGAGAGAACUCGGGUGAAGGAACUAGGCAAAAUGGUGCCGUAACUUCGGGAGAAGGCACGCUGAUACGUAGGUGAAGCGACUUGCUCGUGGAGCUGAAAUCAGUCGAAGAUACCAGCUGGCUGCAACUGUUUAUUAAAAACACAGCACUGUGCAAACACGAAAGUGGACGUAUACGGUGUGACGCCUGCCCGGUGCCGGAAGGUUAAUUGAUGGGGUUAGCGCAAGCGAAGCUCUUGAUCGAAGCCCCGGUAAACGGCGGCCGUAACUAUAACGGUCCUAAGGUAGCGAAAUUCCUUGUCGGGUAAGUUCCGACCUGCACGAAUGGCGUAAUGAUGGCCAGGCUGUCUCCACCCGAGACUCAGUGAAAUUGAACUCGCUGUGAAGAUGCAGUGUACCCGCGGCAAGACGGAAAGACCCCGUGAACCUUUACUAUAGCUUGACACUGAACAUUGAGCCUUGAUGUGUAGGAUAGGUGGGAGGCUUUGAAGUGUGGACGCCAGUCUGCAUGGAGCCGACCUUGAAAUACCACCCUUUAAUGUUUGAUGUUCUAACGUGGACCCGUGAUCCGGGUUGCGGACAGUGUCUGGUGGGUAGUUUGACUGGGGCGGUCUCCUCCUAAAGAGUAACGGAGGAGCACGAAGGUUGGCUAAUCCUGGUCGGACAUCAGGAGGUUAGUGCAAUGGCAUAAGCCAGCUUGACUGCGAGCGUGACGGCGCGAGCAGGUGCGAAAGCAGGUCAUAGUGAUCCGGUGGUUCUGAAUGGAAGGGCCAUCGCUCAACGGAUAAAAGGUACUCCGGGGAUAACAGGCUGAUACCGCCCAAGAGUUCAUAUCGACGGCGGUGUUUGGCACCUCGAUGUCGGCUCAUCACAUCCUGGGGCUGAAGUAGGUCCCAAGGGUAUGGCUGUUCGCCAUUUAAAGUGGUACGCGAGCUGGGUUUAGAACGUCGUGAGACAGUUCGGUCCCUAUCUGCCGUGGGCGCUGGAGAACUGAGGGGGGCUGCUCCUAGUACGAGAGGACCGGAGUGGACGCAUCACUGGUGUUCGGGUUGUCAUGCCAAUGGCACUGCCCGGUAGCUAAAUGCGGAAGAGAUAAGUGCUGAAAGCAUCUAAGCACGAAACUUGCCCCGAGAUGAGUUCUCCCUGACCCUUUAAGGGUCCUGAAGGAACGUUGAAGACGACGACGUUGAUAGGCCGGGUGUGUAAGCGCAGCGAUGCGUUGAGCUAACCGGUACUAAUGAACCGUGAGGCUUAACCUUACAACGCCGAAG